rnacentral:rRNA from 1 species
AACAAACUGUACCAACAACCGGCACUGGUGUCCCUAGGUGAGAAGCCUCAGGUAUACAGGAAUAAACUUUGUUAGGGAAAUCGGCAAAUUAGCUCCGUGCCUUCGGCAUAAGGAGUCCCUGAGCUUGUAUUCGUAUGAGUGCAAGUGCAGGGUUAUAUAACAAGAUGGGCCCGACUGUUUAACAAAAACGUAACGUCUCGCAAGUCCGAAAGGAUGUGAAUGGGACGUGACGUCUGCCCAAUGCUAGUAUCUCAAACCUCUGUUCAAGGAGGCUAAGGACUAGUGAAUGGCGGGAAUAACUAUAAUUCUCUUAAGGUGGAACAUAAUACUGCCUUAGUAAAAUCAGGCUAUAUGCUGGAACAUCUGGGUAUCCUAAAAUACUGAACUAAAGUUUUUUAUUUUUUUAGUAAAUCAUCAAUUGAUGACAGUGAAAAUUUUUGGGUGCAGACAAUCAGCAGGAAAGAUUUCUUCGCAAGAAGAAAAAUCCUCAGAGACUAUAUGCCAGACAUCACAAGUUGUGAUGAAGAUAGAGUCCGACCCUAUCAGCGAUGAUAGGAACUCAUCAGAAAUGGUGAGACGCCAAGAAGGCUUGGUCAGUAACUUGUGACAGACAAGUGAAGUAACAGAUGUGAGCGAAAUACCUUGUCGUUUGAAUGACGACGCGCAUGAAUGGCGUAACGAGGUUCAUACUGUCCCAACAAAGAGUCCUCCGAACUCGCUCUGAUGGUGUGAAGGCCAUCGAUGUCCAGUGGGAAGCGAAGACCCCGUAGAACUUUACUGUAGCUUGUCGUUGCGAGGUAAAGAUUCGUAUGUAGCGUAGGUGGUAGUCGUUUGAUGUUCAGCUCGUCAGGGCUGAUCUAGACACCAAUGAAACACCACUUUCGAAUUUUUGCCUUGCUUAUUCUCCUAAAGAGAAGACAGCGGCUGGCGGACAGUUUGGCUGGGGCGGCACCCUGCUGAAAAGAUAUCAGUAGGGCCCUAAGGUAAGCUCAUCAGGUUUAGAAAUCCUGAGUGGAGUGCAAGAGCAAAAGCUUGCCUGACUGUAUUUCAACCACUACGAAAUGCAGAGACGAAAGUCUGGUCUAGCGAACCCCUAUGUCCUUCUUGGUGAGGGCUAGGUAUGACAGAAAAGCUAUCUCGGGCAUAACUGAGUUGUAGCGCCUAAGAGCUCGAAUCGACGGCGCUGUUUGCUACUUCGAUGUCGGCUCAUCGCAUCCUGGGUGUGCACAAGCACCCAAGGGUACGGGUGUUCACCGGUUAAAGCGGUUCGUGAGCUGGGUUAAGAACGUCGUGAGACAGUUUGUAUGAUAUCUACUGGACAUGUUAAGGAUCUGAGAGGAAGGAUCAUUUAGUACGAGAGGAACAAUGGUUCGGUGCCUCUGGUACAUCGGUUGUCUGAUAAGGCAGGUCGAGCAGCUACGCACUACGGGAUAAGUCCUGAAAGCAUCUAAGGACGAAACCCCCCUUGAAAAGAGAUCUAGAGCACCUAUAGAACAUAGGAUUGAUAGGGUUGGGGUGUAAGUGUCGAGGUAACGAGACAUUCAGCCUGCAACUACUAAUAGCUUGAAUUUUAAUUUGU